UACAGAGGGUGCGAGCGUUAAUCGGAUUUACUGGGCGUAAAGGGCUCGUAGGCGGUCCAUCGCGUCGGGAGUGAAAAGCUGGGGCUUAACCCCAGUCCUGCUUCCGAUACGGGUGGACUAGAGGUAGGUAGGGGAGAUCGGAAUUCCUGGUGUAGCGGUGAAAUGCGCAGAUAUCAGGAGGAACACCGGUGGCGAAGGCGGAUCUCUGGGCCUUACCUGACGCUGAGGAGCGAAAGCAUGGGGAGCAAACAGG
rnacentral:rRNA from 1 species